rnacentral:rRNA from 1 species
AUACGUAGGUGGCAAGCGUUGUCCGGAAUUAUUGGGCGUAAAGCGCGCGCAGGUGGGAUAAUCAGUCUGAUGUUAAAGUUCGGGGCUUAACCCCGUGAAGCAUUGGAUACUGUUAUUCUUGAGUGCAGGAGAGGAAAGUGGAAUUCCUAGUGUAGCGGUGAAAUGCGUAGAUAUUAGGAGGAACACCAGUGGCGAAGGCGACUUUCUGGACUGUGUCUGACACUGAGGCGCGAAAGCCAGGGUAGUGAACGGGAUUAGAUACCCCGGUAAUCCUGGCCGUAAACGAUGGGUACUAGGUGUUGGGGGUAUCGACCCCUCCAGUGCCGGAGUUAACGCAAUAAGUACCCCGCCUGGGGAGUACGGCCGCAAGGUUGAA